rnacentral:rRNA from 1 species
GCUGUCGCUCGUUCCUCAACCGGGGAGCGGAAGGCACAAUGAGAAACAUCAUUUCCCGGUUUCCAGGAGCGCUGCCGACUACUACUCUCUCUCUCUCUCCGAGGGGGGGAUGGUGUGGUGGUGUAACUGGUGACCGGAUACCUUCUCAAGGGAUUUCAUUCGUGUUAUCCCUUGGGGAAUUAUCUAUACCUAUCUUUGUCUGAAUCUUUCAUACAACAUCCGGGUUGGUUGGCCGCGUUUACACGCGCCGAUAAACACGAGUGAAGUAUAACUAAAUAAUAUUAAUACAACUUUCAACAAUGGAUCCCUCGAUUCUCCCAUCGAUGAAGAACGCAGCGAAAUGCGAUAAGUAAUGUGAAUUGCAGAAUUCCGUGAAUCAUCGAAUCUUUGAACGCAUAUUGCGCUCUCCAGGUAAUCCGGGGAGCAUGCCUGUUUGAGGAGUCUUGUCAACCUUCCUGGUAUCUUCUUUAUGUAUUCUGUACGCAAAGAUGUGCCAGACUUCUUCAUGGAAAUGGACAAGAUGUCGUUGAGCUUUUUUUCGGUUUUACGGCCGGAUCGCUCUAAAUGCAUACACUCACUUAACUUCUAUCAUACACGCCUUUAUGGCGCGUGGGCCACUUGCGGAUUCCUUCGGGUUUCCGCAAGCGCCCUUACCCUCACCACAUCCAUGCUGGUUAAGAUAUAUUUUUCCUGGUAAAAAUGUUUUGACUAAGCGCGUGAUGGCGGCCGUAGGGCAAGGGUGUCCAGUCCACGUUGCAGUACUGAUAG